AUAUUUUAGUAAGAAGAUUUGCAGAGCAGACUGCCUUGGGAGAUGAUAGGCAGAUGCCACUUAAUGAGGGAAUUUGCUAUCAUCAUUUUUAAAUUUCUCUAUAGGCAAUUUUUAUAGAUUAUGUGACCCAGAGUCAGAAAGGGAAAAAUAGUCAAUUGAAACAGACCCACAGAAGACCCAGAUACUGGAACUAGAAGAUAAGGACUUUAAAAUAACUACAAUAAAUAUAUCAAAAAGUAUACAGGAAAUUAUAGAUAUGGCAGGUGAAAAGAUAAGAAAAUUCACAGAGAAAUGGAAAUUCACAAAGAACCCCCCCUAAAAAAAAAGAAAAUCCUGGAACUGAAAAAUAAAAUAUCUAAAAUUAAAAAUUCAUUGGAUGUGAUUAACAGCAAAUUGGACAAUGCAGAAAAAAACUGAACGUGAAGAUGAAUCAAGAGAUGCUACCAGAAUGGAAGCAUGACACAAAAGAAAAAGAUUUAGAAAACUAUGUGCAUUGCCUCAAUGACUUAUGGGACAAUACCAAGCACUCCAAUAUAUGAAUGAUUGCAGUCCUAGAAAAAGAGGAUAAAGAAUGGGGUGGGAAAAGUAAUAUAUCCUGACUGUCCAAAAUCCUGGAGGAUAAAUAUAAAGAAAAUUACAUUUAGGCAUAUCAUAGUCCACCUGAGAAAUAUCUGAAUGACAAAAAAAGAAAUAAUAGUGUCACAUUGGAUAAUAACCUAAAGUAUAAAAUAAAUACCCAUGGGUUCAUGCUGAUAUGUGUAAAUGACUGAAUAAAUAAAUAAGUGGUAGGGAAAGGCUAAGUCUUCCUACAGAAGAAUUCCAAAUAAAUUACCCAGAUACCCCCGCCUCAGGGAGGUAUAAACUCCCCAAACUUUGGAAAAGGGAGAAAAGUAACUUCGCAAAGACUAAACUCGGCAAACACUCCCUUGGCCAGGUGACCAAGGUUAACAUGACCAGUGAUGCGUCACCCUAAUUUUGUGUGCCCCCAAGAUGAUGGGUAAAAUUACAAAGGGUACAAAGGGGGCGUCAAUCACAUCUGAAAUAUUAUAUUAAAAUAUUAAAGCAAAAAUAACCAGUCCUGAUAAAAAAAAUUUAAAAAUAAAAAGUCUGAGAAACCGUCAUAGACCAGAGGAAGCUAAGGGGGGUAUGAUGAAUAAAAUAAUGUCAUAGCCUAAAGAGGAACUUGGCAUAGGAAGGGGACAUUAAGGUAGUUCCCUUUGUGGCUCAGCAGUUAAUGAACCCAACUAGGAUCUAUGAGGAUGUGGGUUUGAUCCCUGGCCCUGCUCAGUGGGUUAAGGAUCCGAUGUUGCUGUGAGCUGUGGUGUAGGUCACAGAUGCGGUUCACAUCCCGCAUUGCUGUGGCUGUGGUUAGGCCAGCAGCUGUAGCUCCGAUCCAACCCCUAGCCUUGGAAUUCCAUAUGCCACAGGUGCGGCCCUAAAAAGCAAAAAAAAAAGGGGGGGGGACAUUAAGGAAAAAUUAGUGAAAUCUUUAUCAAGUGUGGAGUAUAGAUAAUAAUAACAUACUAUUGUUGGUUCUUUAGUUGUGACAAAUGUACAACAUAAGAAACUAGGUGAAGAAUACAUGAACUCCAAAGUCUUUGAAACUUUUAUACUAUAACUAUUUUAAAAUAAAAAAUUCCUUUAAGUUUGAAAAGGGCAAAAACAUGAGCAGGGUCUGAAUGACUUGUGGGAUAGCAUCAAACACUCCACUAUGUGAAUAAUUGGUGUUAUUCUACAAAUCAAAAGCAGGACAACCUGAGUUUUGAGAGUAUCAAGAUAGGCCCCCAGCUGUUGCUGCUCACACAGCACCUGCAUCUUAGUGCCACCUAGAAUGGCAGGGUCUAAAGAUUUGGCUUAAGACAUGAUGAGAGACAAGGGUAUGCUUUGGAAAAGGCACACGGUUCCAUUAGGUUCCAGAGUGACAUCGCCAAGAUGGCAGCGUGGGAGCCCUGAGCCUCUGCCUCCCAACAAAGAUCAACAAUUAAACAAUUUUCCAUAAACAAAAAAAGCUCUGGGAGAACUCAGGAGUCUACUUAAGAAACUCCAAUAACACCGUGGAACAAAAAUUACACACAAAAAAAGGGAAGGAAGAGCAGCCUCAUUUUGUCUGCAGAGUCCUAUCCCCUAGGCUGCCACUGCUUAGCAUUAAGGGAACUUCCCAGAUUGUCAGAGUCCCCCUUACUGAGAAAUAGAAAUCAGGAUGAAUGACCUGCAUAAAGGACCCAUUUGGGUUUCACCCCAUCUGGACACCAGCGAACCUGAGACCUACAGAGGCAGCUAGAGAGGAAGAAAAGCAGGGGCUGCCAGUAUCAGCCAGGCCAUGAGAGUGAGUGCAGUUCCCAGGUCCUACUCUACAGGUGACCCCAGCAGCUUUUCCUUGCCAAGGAAAUCAACAGCACCAAGGAUUCCCUAGAGAUUUCACCUAAGUGUUUCUGCAUCAUGGAGUCCCUCCUCACUCCCCCUCCUGCCUCUCCUCCCCAGUGCCCCCCUACCCCUGCCAAACCCCAGGAUGUGCAUAGACAACCCCAGCCUCUGUGGAGUGCAAGAUGCCAGUCUAUACCUGCCAAGGAUGACCAAUCUCCUGGAGCAUCCAUAGUUGGGCAGUGGGUGUCAAGUAAGGGCCAAAGCUUUUCCAUCGGCCUGAAGAUUUUGGUCUUAGAAAUCCUUUAAUCAUUCCCAGGAUAAGAUGGAUGAGGGAAAGGGGAAAAUAUCAAAAUAAGACACAGAGGAGUUCCCAUCAUGGCUCAGUGGUGAACAAAUCCGACUAGGAACCAUAAGGUUGGGAGUUCGAUCCCUGGCCUUGCUCAGUGGGUUAAGGAUCCGGCGUUGCCAUGAGCCGUGGUGUUGGUUGCAGACGCAGCUCGGAUCCCAUGUUGCUGUGGCUCUGGCAUAGGCCGGUGGCUACAGCUCUGAUUCGACCCCUAGGCUGAGAACCUCCAUAUGCUGCAGGAGCAGCCUAAGAAAAGGGAAAAAAGACCAAAAAAGACACAGAUACACAUAUCUGAAGUGUGGCAUUUUAGAAUGAGGCCUGAAAAAGAGAAUUGAAUACACACACUGUUUUCCAUGGCAUGACACUCCUAUUCUUCUUGCACUGAAGCCACAGGCACACCACACUGAUGUAAUAAAAGGUUUCUAAUUUCAAGACCUGGAGUGAAACUAACAGGAAGGCACAUUGUGCAGCUGACAGGGGCAAGGAGAAGACAAAUCAAGAGCCGUUAAGAACAGUGCUUUAAUUCACACAAAUGUAAUUAGGUUUGGAGGGCCAUCAUUUUAUUAAGCAAUCAAGAAUCCAUAACUAAGCUUUGUUCUGUAUAGUGUAACUCUCAAAUACAUAUUGACUGUGGAAUAUUUAGCUCCCACGAUCAGGAAAGAGUUUGGGGGAUAAUUUUCAUUUCACAUAAAUGAAAACACAACAUAAUAACAUGUUUGAAUUAUUCCUUAUGAACGAGGUCAUUCUUCCCUGGGUUUUAAUAGAAAGGAUCCCUAAGUUUGCCAAUCUGGUUUAGAAAACAUAACACCACAAGCUUCUUGGUCUGAACAUAUUGUAUUCAUAUUCAUAUUAGUAUCAUAUUUAUAGAAUAAUAACUUGACAUUCACACCAAGAUUGUAGUGAUUUGCAGACACUGGAGGUAAUUAGAUUCACUAGUUAUUUUUCAAUAUUAAAAAGCUGCCCAAGAAAAUUAUUUUUAGAUUUUAAAUUACUUAUGACCUCAAAACCUUUCAAAUUCAUAUUUUUAAAAAUAAGAAUAGGAGUUCCCGUUGUGGCACAGCGGAAACGAAUCCGACUAGGAACCAUAAGGUUGCGGGUUUGAUCCCUGGCCUCGCUCAGUGGGUUAAGGAUGUGGCAUUGCCGUGAGCUGUGGUGUAGGUUGCAGAUGCGGCUCAGAUCAUGCAUUGCUGUGGCUGUGGCAAAGCUGGCAGCUACAGCUCCAAUUCAGUCCCUAGCCUAGGAAUCUACAUAUGCCACAGGUGUGGCCCUAGAAAGACAAAAAGCCAAAUAAAGAAAUAAAUAAAUAGUAAGAAUAUAUUUAUUUACCCUCACAAACACUUUUCUCACAACCCCCUAUCCUGCCCUAAAUUUCCAAAAAACUAAAGACAGUUCACAUGGAACUGCUAAGUGGUGCCAACCUAAUGAAGAGCCCAGUUUUGCUCUGUAAACUGGCCUGUUUUACAGACUGCUAAACUCCAGUUUAUGGGAGCAAUCCCCUACCAGGAGGGUGUUUUGCAGGGAGGAAGUAAAAAAUGAUGAGACCCUCACUUCUUGCAUUAUAUACAUCCCUACACUGUUUUGCACUGUGAACAUUGCUACUCAAAGUGUGGUCUCAACCAAGAGCAUCAGUAUCAUCUCCAAGGAAGCUUGUUGGGAAUGUACACGCUCUAAUCCCACCCAGACCUACAGAAUCUGGAUCUGCCUUUAAGAAAUGAGCCUUUAUUUAGAGAGCUUCAUUCAUGGCUCAGCAGAAAUUAAUCUGACUAGUAUCCAUGAGGAGGCAGGUUCGAUCCUUGGCUUUGCUCAGUGGGUUAAGGAUCCGGCAUUCCCAUGAGCUGUGGUGUAGGCCAGCGGCUACAGCUCCAAUUCACCCCUAGCCUGGGAACCUCCAAAUACCAUCGGUGUGGCUCUCAAAAGACCAAAAAAAGAAAGAAAAAAGAAAUGAGCCUUUAUUGUGGGUGUCGUCAACUUUAAAUGCUGGGCACCUCUGUCUCAGAAGAUAGGGAAAGCAUUGGAGGGAUGGAGAACUUUCCAACUGUUUCUGAAACAACUUCUUCAGUGCUUCCCUGUAGGACUCAUGUCUAGAGUUUAACAGAUCUUAAGGCUUUUCAAAAGCUAGAGACUUUGGACAUAAUUUCAACAAAGAUGGCUGAAACAAAUCAAGUAUCCAAAAAGCUUUAGCAGUGCCCAGCAAAUCUUCACAUGUUUUUGCCCAUUGGUCUGUUGUGUUUUGUUUUGUUUGCUGUUCUCCCUUGUUUUGUUUUGCUUUGCCUGGUUAGUGAUCCCACUUUGCACGGUCUUCUGAAAAACGGAGUUUCUGAUUCCUCAAGGGGGCAGACAUUCACCACAAUAUUGGAGCAUGAAUGGUUCUGGAGGGAGCCUUAGCCAUUGCUCAUUAGUGUGAACAAAAAUAUUUGAAGAUUAUCAGUUAUUCAAUCUUGUUUUAAUAUUGGAAUUGGAUCAGUUAAAUUUUUUUUUUUUUUGGAAAAUGACUUAAGCAGUUGUAAGGUGACUUGUCCAGACAUUAAAAGGAAAGGGUUUUUUAUGCUAAAUUUAUCUCAGGGGCUGAGAAUCAGGCUUGGAUUUUGGCUUCACGUAGGAUCCCUGAACUCCUAACAUUCAUUUAGGAUCUUGGCCCCUUGCUCUGUGUGUCAAUAUCUCAUCAAACAUUCC
rnacentral:lncRNA from 1 species